CGCCACGAGGUCACAGUCAGCUAGUGACUCUGCGUCGCUAAAGGCCUCACUCCACCGGCUCGCUCCUGGGCUCAGGGGUUCGGGUAGAGCAUCGGCGCUCACGGAUGCAGGGGAGGGGUUCGGAAUCCCGCGGCGCCGGCCAGAACCGCCGCGCGGAGGCUGCCCGGUCGCCAGGCAGCGACGAACGUUUGGCUCUUCCCCCUCAGUCUCUCGCGGCGACCCGCGGGGGACACUCACGAGCGAGGGGGCGCCGAGGAGGAACUGAGGGAUGUUCGGGAGCCGGGGGCCGCCCGGGGACUGUGGGAUCGGGGGACCCGACUGACGGCGGCUGGGAGGCCGCGGGACCCGCCUGUAAGAUGGCGGCCGCCUCUGCGGCGGGCACGGUGCUGCCCGUCCGGGGUGACGGAGAUCGGGGACCCCGGGCACGGGGCGGCCGGUCCGGGAUGGCGGGGACCGGCGGGCACUCGAGCGCCUGCUCUGGUUCUUAGUCCCCUGUCCCCUUGGAAGAAACUGGGCGAUGCCCAAGCUAAUGGCUAGAUGAACAAGCAAGAAAGGCGCGCAGCUUUAUUAGCUAUACAAAUAAGCAUUUCUUUGAGAAAAGAGCAACACGCGGAAUAGUCGUAAAACAGAAACACUAGGAUUUCUCGGUGCUGUCUCUUCGUCCCGAUUGUGUCCCGUACGUAUGCUAGUGCAGAGAUCGCACACAAAGUAUCCGAAUUUUCACGAAGGGCAAAUACCUAACCAGCACCAUUAGCAUGUGUUUUUUGGAUAUUUUGAAAGGCUUAAUAAAUACACACUCAUAAACUGAGGAACUCUUACCAUCUUAAAAUCUACUAAAUGAUAUCUUUGGAUCUAUUGAACGUUUCAUAAAACCUUAAAAUGUUGCUUUACUCAAAACAACGUUCACGGGGCCUAGGAUAAAAAAAAACUUAAUCAAGCCAUGAAAUUUAGCAUGAGAUACAGAUACAUAGAUUUUUAAUGAUGAUUUCCUUCCUACAUAAAGUGUCUCCUAUGGAUGGCUCACAACCACCUGUAACUUCAGUUCCCGGGGAUCUGGUGCCCUCUUCUGGUCUCUCUGAGUUGCUAUAGAUUCCUUUUUUCAGGAUUAGUCUUUUGUUUGUUUUUCCAAACAGGAUUUCUCUAUGUAGCCCUGUCUGUUCUGGAACUCACUCUGUAGACCAAGCUGGCCUCCAGCUCAGAGCAUAUCUAAAGGAAUUUCUUUUACCUUCAUUAAAAGCGGUUUCUUUCAUAAGAAGCUUUCAAAAAUACAUAAUAAACAAACAAACAAACCUGGUCCUGGAAAAUAUCUCAGUAGUUAAGAGCACUGGCUGCUCCUCCAAAGAACCUGGGUUCAGGUCCCAGCACCCAUAUUUGCGCUUGACUCCAGUUCCACGGGCUCUUUUGUCC